AUUGAACGCUGGCGGCAGGCCUAACACAUGCAAGUCGAACGCGUGGCGGACGGGUGAGUAAUGUCUGGGAAACUGACUGAUGGAGGGGGAUAAAUAGUGGAAACGGUAGCUAAUACCGCAUACCAUCGGAUGUGCCCAGAUGGGAUUAGCUAGUAGGGGGGGUAACGGCUCACCUAGGCGACGAUCCCUAGCUGGUGUGAGAGGAUGACCAGCCACACUGGAACUGAGACACGGUCCAGACUCCUACGGGAGGCAGCAGUGGGGAAUAUUGCACAAUGGGCGCAAGCCUGAUGCAGCCAUGCCGCGUGUAUGAAGAAGGCCUUCGGGUUGUAAAGCACUUUCAGCGGUGAGGCGUUACCCGCAGAAGAAGCACCGGCUAACUCCGUGCCAGCAGCCGCGGUAAUUC
rnacentral:rRNA from 1 species